rnacentral:tRNA from 1 species
GCCGCGUGAGCGACGGUGAUCGCAUGGCGCUGCCACCGUCGUCGUCGAUGCCGAGUUCGCCGAUCGCCUCGUCGUCGCGAUAC